AAGUAAGUCCUCAUUUUAAGGUAAGUAGGUAACAACUAAAAACAAAUGAUAUAGAUCACAAUUCACAAAGCCAUGUAUGAAGUGAAAACAAUUAACAACAUUUAGUUCUUAUAAUCUUAUUUAUCAGCUCAGAUCAAAGAAAACAUUAUUAAUUGUGAAGAAAAAAUAUUUUAUUGUGACUAAGGCUUAGUUGAAAUGAGUUAGCUUGAUUCUUGAAGGAAAACAUACCAUGCAGUUGUGAUUGUUUUAACCCUAUACAUCUGAAUGGUGGAAAUUAGGAUUGGUUCUUACUCUGAAUAAACAAAGAAAUAGGGGAUGCAUUUUCAAACUCCUUAAAGGAACCUAAUAUGUCCUAAAAGUUACAAAGAGGGAAUAAAUUGGCAAACCUAACUUUUCAUUUAUUGGAGUAUGCUAUUUCCUCACAUCAGUUACAAUAAACUUAAUGGCCUAUUGCCCUAUUCUAUAAAUAAUAAAUAAAAACUCAAAGUAUUCAGUGUUUUUUUUUUCUUCUUUGUUUGAGAAGAUUGAAGAGUUGCUUGUGAUCAAAAGUCAAUAAACGGCCAUAAAUGCUCUUUGGAGGUGAAAACAAACAUGAAAACACUAAAAACAAUAUAGCUUGGCAAAAAUAAUUUGGUAUAUUGACAUUUAUAAUUUCAAAAAACUAUGUUAAAUCUUUUAAAUCCUGAAGGAACUACAUAGUGCAUAUCACAUAGUCAAGACAGACAAUCAAUAUUAAACGUUUAUUAUUUGUUCUAGACAUACGUAAUAUUUAAUGCAAUGCUAGACAAAUUAAGAAGUAUUCAAAAAAAAAAAAUGAAGAAGUA